UCCAGGUAUUUCCAGACGCGGCACUUAUCCUCCAUGCGCACCACCACAGCGUUUGCAGGGACUGCUGCCAGAUGGCACCGCGCAUACUCAUCCAGACCCGCCUCAGUUCCAUCUGGACACAGCAGCUUGAGGUCCUCCAGCUCCAGAUCCAGGGCCCAGGACUCCUGGUUCUUACCUGUGCAGGAGCGAAGCGGUUGCAUAGGGACUAGUUCUUGGCCAGCUGCAGUGAGAUCCUGGAGCUCGGAUGCCUGACAGCCUCAUGAUGGUCCCACGAGGAAGUCCCUGCACCCUGCCAACAAGCAGUUCCGCACAAGCUUCCAACGUUUAUGCUAAGCUAAGCUAACCAGCUGCACAUUGAGCAGACAGACAUUAGAAUGGAAUUAAUCAACAAACUGCAUUUCUCUGAGCCAUUUCAAAAAUCCUUAAGAAGAACCGUCUAUUUGACUGACAGUAGGGAUGACUUAUAUAUGAAUUAAAAUAUGUGGUAUUUAUUUUCUGUGGCAUCAACUAAAAGCUGGAGUUGUCUA